UUGUACAAUAACAGAGUUCUCUCUGUUGACAGACACUGAUAACCAUAAUCUCGGUCAAUAACUGCACACCAGUACUCCCCUGCGUCUCCCACUGAGAUAUUAGAGAUAACCAGGAUACCUUUAAAUCGGUACGUGC